rnacentral:lncRNA from 1 species
CUGUAAUUUAUUUGGUUUUUUUUUUUUUUUUUUAAUAGAAAUAUGCCAAGGUCAGGGUGCACAAACACAAAAAGCACUUUGGAGGAUGGGAAGAGGAUGCUUACAUGUUGUCCUCAAUGCGCAAGAUGUUGCUUUCUAAAAAUGCCUUAAAAGCAUAAAACAUUUUUACAUGGAUUUCUUUUGAAACCGUGCUCCUCAGGAUUUAGUGACCUUUUGACUGCAGACCUGAGGCCUGUACGCGUAGCUGUGUUAGCCAACAUUUAUGAGUUCGCCUGCAGAAUAGAUGCACCGACCGCCUCGAACAACUACUCAGAAAUGCUUCCCGCUUAUGAUGUCAGGUGUGUGUUUUCAAUGCUUUUGGCAGUGAUUCUACACAGCGACAGCAGCAUCCGUUCCCAGUAUUUGUUGAAGCACGUUAGAGGCAAUACCCAACACCUACGUAAUUAGCCAUAAAAUUCAAUGUAAAGAAUUACUCAGACUGUUAGAAUUUGAUAAGUUCUCACUGUCAGUACAUGUGCGGCAGUAAGAAGUGUGAUGGUGUGUUUGGCUGAAUGCUUUGUGUGCUUUCUUCUCUGGCUUGGUUCCCACUGGACGGAUGGCACCAGCUCGUGAGUGACGUUCUCGAGACCCCUUUUGGUGGCAACUUUGGACAGAAAUAAGGUGGCGAUGGGGUGCUGAGAAAAGUGCACGCGGGACCGCGGAGGUUAAUCGGCCUUUAUACGUACGUGAUCGGCAGUGGAAGCGUUUACUGUACCCGGCUGCCUUUCAGAGAAGUAGGAGUUCCCCUUCCGACAAAGUGCGCAGGUCCCUGAAGUUUUCAACUUGAACACAGUCACUGCUGGAAGAGAAAGCUCAUGGGAGGCACUCAUGUAGGAGGUGUGCCGUGGUCAUGGCCUUCUUCCACACGUGUCUGGGCUGCAUGCAAAGUACCAAUCAUUUACUCAAAAAGAAAUGAGCGAGGGCAAAACUCUGUGUGUCUGAAUCAUCUGUGUAUACUUACUGGCCUUCCCUUCUGCUAAUCCAGCCAUAUUUUCAAGUAAAACUUUCGUUUUUUGAAAUGUAAUAUUGGAAAAUGAAAACCAAGGAUUUAAAAAAAAAAAAAAAAAAAACUGUCCCAAAAAUGCUUUAAAAAAAAGGUGCACAAAUGAUGGGACUGCGGUUAUCGUACUUUGGACACAUCAUGUGAAGAACAGAUUUUCUCAACUAGAAAGCCAAUCUUCUGCGAUAGCUAAGGGAAAAAGAAGAGCAGGACUGGCGACCAGACGGAGGGACUCGAUCGAAGCGAUAAUGGACGCGCUAGGGACAGAGGAUUCUGGAG